UGUGAAAUGCGAUCUGGAUUGUCCAA
rnacentral:piRNA from 1 species